rnacentral:rRNA from 1 species
GAACGAGAAAGUGGAGCAAUCCAUGAGUAAAGUGGCGACCGGGUGAGUAACACGUGACUAACCUACCUUUUAGUGGGGGAUAACCCCGGGAAACCGGGGCUAAUACCGCAUAACAUCGCAAGAUCAAAGCAGCAAUGCGCUUGGAGAGGGGGUCGCGGCUGAUUAGCUCGUUGGCGGGGUAACGGCCCACCAAGGCGAAGAUCGGUAUCCGGCCUGAGAGGGCGCACGGACACACUGGAACUGAAACACGGUCCAGACUCCUACGGGAGGCAGCAGUGGGGAAUUUUGCGCAAUGGGGGAAACCCUGACGCAGCAACGCCGCGUGGAGGAUGAAGCCCUUUGGGGCGUANACUCCUUUCGACUCGGACGAUAAUGACGGUACGAGUGGAAGAAGCACCGGCUAACUCUGUG